UGGUUGCUGUGAGACCGAAAGCAGAUCCCGUCGGUGUCGAGGCGGACCUUUCUUUCUGUCGGUUCUUGGAACCAGCCUACCGCGCCACGCGUCAGCCUUUGGCCCCCCAACUACAGCGCCCGCUGGGCUCCCCUCAGCAGCAGCAGCAGAGGCGGCGGCGGCGGCAGCAGCUCCUCUUCCGCUUCCUCCCCCCAUAUUCCCUGCGCAGCCCGCGGAAGGGGGGGGGCGCUCCCUGCAGCUCCGCCUGCUGGUUCACUGAGGAAGGUGACGGGGCCUCCCUGAAGAGGCCAGAGGGCUUGAGGAGGGACGGCGGGAUCUGCCAUCCGGCUGCCCUGCUCCGCUUCUCUCCUCCGAGAAGAGCCGCGCCAAAACCAACCGGCUUGGAGGUCGCUGCAGGUCCGGUCCUUGCCCUGGCGGGGAGCGGAGGAAGCAAAAUCUGCCGGCGAAUGCUCGCUAACUCUGCGUGCAAUAAAAUUGGAGUUCCAACAAAGGAGACAUUUCUCAGAGAGAAGUCUACCUAUGGAAGUAUGCAGACAAUAUAAGAAUUUGGAAUACUUUUAAAAAACACAAUCCAUCACAUCUGAUAAAAUGCCUACCAUUGUUAUUUCACAGAAAAAAAUAAAGCUAAAAAUAGCAACUUGAAAAAUCUUGGGAAUGUAUGUUGCUAAGUGGAAGUGGAAUAUAGUCAAUCUAUAUGCGAAGCUAACUGGAGAGCCAAUGAAUUCAACCCGUCAGUCAGAACAGAGCUGGAGGGGACCUUGAAGGAUCAAUCCACCCUACCCAUGCCAGCAGAGAGAACAUGCUAUGGGCUCAAUCAAUCAGAAAAUUAGAGUGGGAGGGGUCCAGGAGAAAAGAUCUCUCUGCCAUGGCUGCUGCCCUUUGGACCUUCAUAUCCCCAGAGGUGAGAUCUACACCAACACUCUUGACCUUCCAUAAGGGCCUGAAGACUUGGCUCUGCCAGAGGGCCUGGGGGCCCAAUUGUGGGGAGGUAUCACUCUGGAAGUGAUUAGUAAAUUGAGGUAAGGCCCCACCUCUAUCUCUUUGUGCUUUCUCCCCCCUCUUUUAAUGAUUUUUUUUAGCAUAACUAUAAUUAUUAUUAUAACUGUCUUAGUUUUAAUAUUUGUAAAUGCCCAAAAUUGCCUCUGGAUGAGAUGGGUGGCUUACAUAAAUCCAGUGAAUAAAUAAAUAAAAAUGUCUUUAGCUUCAGGGCAAACUGGUCUCAACCACAAUUCUGCACAAAAGAUGGUAAUAAUCAUAGGAUCAUAGACUGUUUACAAGCAAUUAUCAUCUGCAUUCUGAAUUGUUCCAGCCAGUCCAAUAUCUCAGUUUACACCACAAUAAUUUUAUCAUUCUACCUCAUGCAUGUAUCAAAAAGAUGAUCUCAUUUGCAAUUCUUUGAGAAGCUGUAAGUAUAGUCUAAUGCAGGGGUGUCAAACCCGAUUGCAUCGUGGGCAGUAUUGUGAUGUAUCGUGGUGGGCGUGGCCCAUGUGGGCCAUAUGUGGCCUGCGGGCUGCCAGUUUGACUGGCCUGGUCUAAUGGACAUGGAAGGAUAGAGUGAGACAGAAUCUCAAAAGUAAUGUCAGUAAAAUGCAGCUGGGUUUGGAGAAACAAACAGCCACUACUCAAUUUAUUAGCAACUAAAGUAGCACAAAAUAUUUGCAAGGCUAUUUUAGUAUACAUCCUGCCAAAGUAAGCAUUAGAAGGCACUAAUCUACCUUACUUGAUGUGGAAAAAGAUAAGUAUUUGGAGAUAUUUAAAACAAAAUCAAAAGGAAGCAAUGGCAAACCAUUUCUUUGUUGUAACCAAAGAAAUAUACAUAGAAGUUGUCCAUGUAAUCACCAGGAGUUUAACUUGACUUAGAAGAGAGUAUACUUCAUUUUAGAAUACUAGCAGAUAAUCUCACUAAAUGUUAGUUUUGGAACAGGAGAUAAAUUUAUAAAUGUACAAAAUAUUUCAACUCAAUUCAAUGCAAUAAAGCAAAAAAAGAUUUUUUUUAAGAAGUCUUUCUAGAAGUUUGAAAACCCUGCAAAAUGAAAGACUGUGGUAUUGGAAAACAGCACUGUAUUUAAAUAGUGCUUUGACAAACCUAGUAAAAUGAUGCAACUCCCGAAGGGCAAGCAACAGAUGAACAGAAAUUACCAUUCUAAUACUUAAUCCCUAGAUAAAAAUUGUGAAUGCUUGCCUUCACUUACAUUGCUGCCUUACUUUUAUGUGGAUUGGAAAAAGGGUUAGCAAUUACACAAAGUCUCUUAAUACAACAGUGGACAACUUUCCUUGAGUCAGGGGUGAUUUCCCUGACUAGCUGUAGACUACAGACCAAAGUCUCUCAAUUUUGGCAACUUUAAGGUAUGUGGAGUUCAACUCCCAGAAUUUUCAUGCCAGCUGGGGAUUAUAUAAAUUGAAACUUCUUAAAUUUUCCAUUUCCCACUUUUCAAAACAUAUUCCAAACCCAAACUCAGAUCACAAACUUUGGUAGCAAAAGGGCCAAAUAAAAACAAAUUUGGAUUGUUUGGGGAAGCUGGUAGGACUAAAGAUGGAAAUGAUAGAAAACUUUUCAUUCCCACUAUUUUUUUAUAAAAUAAAAAUGGGUUCUGCCAUGAAAAGUAUGUGCAUGUGUAUUUGCUUGCUUGCUUGCAUGUGUAAAUUAAGAGUUAACCAUACAAAAGGGAAAGUUAACUUUAUCUGUUGACAGCAUGAGCUAUCUACACAAAUAAAAGCUGAAAUUUAUCAAAUCAAUGAACAAAUGCCCACAUUUCCUAUUUAUGAUUAUAUACUGUAUUAUACAUUAUAUUCUAGUCCCUUCUUAAUACUUAUUCAUCUUUGUAUUGCAAUGAAGGUUUUUUUUUUUCUAACUGUAAAUUACACAUUUGAGAGAUAGGACAAACCUAGAGAAACCUUUAUGACAAAUGCCAUGGUAAUAGGUGAACUGUUAAGUGAUUAUUACGGAGACUAAUAAUUGCUUUGUACACUGGAGGCAUAGAAAAUAAUUAUUAGUGGUACAUUUUGUCAUACUUAAAGCAGACCUGCUAAAAUACACUGUAACUGAUUGUAAAUAAUUUGAAUAGUUCUCCUAUGCCUACAUCUAUUCCACUGACACUUUUGUUCAUUGUUAAUAUAGGUGUCCUAUUCCAUUUCUUCCUUUUGCUUAAGUCUUCCAUUAUUCACAUAUUAAAAAUGGUAGAAUUUUAUCCUGAUUUUGGUGAGACUACUGGGCAUUACAGAUUACUCCAUAUCUAUCUUUCUAAAGUCAGUAAAUACAAAAACAUUUCAUGCCAGACAUCAGAACCACUUGAGCAAGGUGAUAGUAUGGCACACUAGUCGUUAACAUGUUUUAAAGUCGAAAGAAUGCUGCAUAAGCUUGGAAAACACGUAACAGUGAAGGCAAAUCUUAGGCAAGUUCAUGACACAGGAAUUUACGUUGUUCCUUUGGACACUCCCUAACCUCUGCCUGAGACUGCCCCCCCACCCCCGCCUCAAGAGGAAUUAAUUCUAUCAGAAUGACACUACUACGUAACCCAAGCUAAUGCUAUGCAUGUAUGC